GCGACCUCAAUCUCGCCGCCGCAAUCUCGCUGCCCCUCUUCUCGUCUGCUAACCCUAGGUGCGCUCCAUCUCUGACCUCAAUCUCACCACCGCAAUCUCGCCGACCUCAAUCUCUGACUGCCACGCUGCGCUCCCAUCUCACUGCCCCUCUUCUCGUCUGCUAACCCUAGGUGCGGCGAUUCGCGCUGCCUGCCACGACGUGCCCCUAUCUCGUCGCCCUGGUCCUCGUCGCUACCCUAGGCUUCGCGAUCUGCGCCGCAUCCCCCAUCUCGCCGCCCCUAUUGUCUGGUAACCCUAGCCGCACCGCCUAGUCCCCCUCGCACUGCCUGCUUUCCUCCCUGUUCUCAUUUUCUCUAUCCUUGUCGCAUCUCCGAUCGAUUCAUGCUCCAGAUGCUUGGAAUCUGGUGUUCUGCAGCUCUGACUCUUCUCUAACGAGGUGAUUUUGUUCUAUCACUCUUUGAUUUUUGGUUAUUUGGAAUCUGAGGCAUUGUGAUGCUCCAGUGAAGAAGAACAUUUACAUAACAUAUUUUCAGUCCUAAUCGAAACUUUGAUUUCACCAGCAAGAAUUAAUUUCUUUCGCCUCCGUCGGUCCGGCCCCAGCCCCACCGGCCGACUACCGAAAUAUGCUUCUACCGGUGGAACAACGCCACACAGAAAUUCAUCGGGCGCCAGAGGUCCCAGAAAGAGAUAGAAGACGAGCUUCACCUCGGAAAAUGAUUCGAUUCUCCCUUGACCAUUUCUGUGUCAGUAUAGUUACACAGAGACGCCGAAGGUGAAUCUGGUGAAUUGCGGGAGCCGUUGGUGUCCCUAUUUGGGCCCGAAACGAUGGCGAAGCCGUGUCUGGGGCGGAGGCCGCUGCCGGAGUUCGAUUCGCUUAAGCUGUCGCUGACUCAUAAAAUGGCGCGAAGCCGGUCCAGGCGCCCGGUCCAUAUCUUCCCGGUUCUAGGCCCAAGCAUGUGAGAUCCAGAGAGGAGAUUCGUGGGGAGCCAUUGACUAAGGAGGAAAUUCAGGCGCUCAAAGAAAGCAAAUAUGGGUAAAGAUUGUAUUUUUAGUUGAUUGUUGCUAUGUGGCUUUGAUAGUUGGUUUGUUUGGUUCUGUUUUAUCUUUUUUGCUAGUGGUGUAGUUAUAAUCUGCCAAUGUGGUAGUGAAAAAUCUUGUCCGGGUUGAAAGUUUCUUUGGAUAUAUGUCUUCAAUACUUUAGAUAACCAAACAGAUAUAAGUACAGAGAUGACAAAUUCUGAGCCACCUUCAUGGUCUGUUAGGGACUGAGUUGUGACUGAGUUGUACUUGUUCCUAACUCCCAUUUGCAGGGACUUGGAUUUCGACAUGCAUUCUGCCGGGAUUUAUCAGAUUUCCAGGUUAAUGCUUACUCAAAGAACUAUUUUGUUGGGUUAAGCCCGCUGUCUUUUGCAGCAAAAUAUGGCGAAAGAUUUAUUGCAUCUUUGCUUGAAGAGUAGAUCCAAAUUUAUUGCAUCUUUGCUUGAAGAGUGGAUAAUCAAAAUCUAGGCAAACUCGCUGAAUGUGCCCAAUUCUUUGAAUUGAUAAAGUGAGUGAUUGGACCUGUGAAGCCAUGGCUCUGGUUUGUGGUGGAUUAAAUGAGUCGUACGUUGAGCUGAAGAGGCUUGUGAAUUCACAAGAAAAGUUGUACCAUAUGGCUAGCUAGUUGCAUAUUUAAUAUGUUUAGUAUUUUUGUAAGGCAUAAUAGUAUAGAUAGAGCAGUUGUUGAAUUUUGACUAUAUUCAAAUCUUGUAUGAAUUCUUUUUUAUGAUAAUAAUAUAAAAUUAAAUA